CAAAUGCCUUUUAUGUCACAUGACUUAAACCUCUGAGAAAAAGUUCAAUUUCAGUGAGAUAAGAGUAAGAUGUCUUAAAGAGCAUUAACCCACAUGAUUUCUGGGUAGUCAAUCAAGAGCAUUGUUUUCUACAAAAUGUUUGAAGUGUAAUGUUCAUUGCUGUUAUGGUUUGGAUGUGAGGUGUCCCCCAAUAGCUCACAUGUGCGACAAUGCAAGAAAGUUUGGAGGAGAAAUGAUUGAGUUAUAGCCUUAACUAGUCAGUGAGUUAAUCCCUAAUGGGAUUAACUGAAGUGGUAGGGUGUGCCUGGAGGAGGUGGGAAUUGGAGUGUGGCUUUGAUAUAUAUUUGUAUCUGGAGAAUGGAGUCUCUCUCUUUGCUUCCCAGUGUGAGCUGCUUCCCUCUGCCACACUCUCUCACCAUGAUGUUCUGCCUCACCUUGAGCCCUGAGGAAUGGAGCCAGCCUUCUAUGGACUAAGACCUCUGAAACUGUGAGCCCUCAAAUAAACUAUUCCUCUUUUACAGUUAUUCUGGUCAGAUCCUUUAGUUACAGCAGCGAAAAAGCUGACUAAAACAAUUGCUUCUAGGAGUUUUCUUCAGCAGGGAAAAAAUGGUUUAUACUGGUAACUACACUUGUCUGAUACCUUGGUUUCCAUGGGUAACCUACAGUUAACAGUUAAAAAUGUGUAAAUUAGAUUUAAUAUGAAUGGAUUAAUCUUCAUAAAUGUAUUUGUUAAAAGAGAUGUCUGACUAAUUUGCAAAGUUAAAAUACUAAAACAUCAACUACUAAAUAAAAAUUCAAGUACUCUUGGCUUCUUGAAUUCCAUAAAGCAAUAUACAUUUGGUUCUAUUAAAUGUGUUUUUAUAAAUUGAUAAGUAGAAAAACAGUUUAAGAUGCCUUUGUUUCUGGGUCUCCACUAAAAGUAAGAUUAGUAAGAGUUAAAAUUCUAACAGGUAUAAUUCUGUAUGCAAAGAGUACAAAAAGUUUCAGCUGUG
rnacentral:lncRNA from 1 species